UGCGUAGGCGGAAUAAUAAGUCAGUGGUGAAAUCUUUCGGCUCAACCGAGAAACUGCCAUUGAUACUGUUAAUCUUGAGUUCGGUUGAGGUAGGCGGAAUGUGUAAUGUAGCGGUGAAAUGCUUAGAUAUUACACAGAACACCAAUUGCGUAGGCAGCUUACUAGACCGACACUGACGCUGAGGCACGAAAGCGUGGGGAGCGAACAGGAUUAGAUACCCUGGUAGUCC
rnacentral:rRNA from 1 species